CUGGGGAGCUAGGUGGAGGCACCUCCCUGGGCCGAGCCCUGGGAGCAUGCGCGGUGAACCGUGAGCCGUCCACAGCUCUCUCCACCCGGAGCCCGGCGCACCCUGAAGAAGGCAGGACUAAACGUCGUAGCUCUUGAGAGCCCGACCCUGCCAUUGAUGGAUCAGCUGGCACCACCCAGAUUGAUUGAUAAACUGGCUCAUGUGAUCUUCUGGCCCCCAACCAGGAACUGUCUCCGUGCAAGAAGACAGCUUCAACUUCCUGUGAUUUCAUUUCUAACCUGACCAAUCAGCACUCCUGGUUCACUGGCUUCCUGUCACACACCAAGUUGUCCUUAAAAACUCCGAUCCUCGAAUGCUCAGGAAAAUGGAUUUGAGUAAUAAUAAAACUCAAAUCCAUAAUAAUACGGUCUCCCCCCACCCAAAAAAAUAAAAUAAAAACCAUGUUAGUGGUCAUCUGACAUGAGGAGACAAAGAAAGAAAAGCAGUGCCUGAAGACAGAAACAAAUCAUGAUUAAUGAUUUGGCAGCAAAAGAGGAGGAGCCUAUCAAGGAAAAUAAUAAAAUUGUCCAGGGCUUAUAGGCAUAUGUGGUUAGAAUUAGAAUAAAUAAUGGCAGGGAAGCCAGGAGCAGAAAGGAUAGAGCUCUGAGAAGUGCUUGUUCAACAAUCAGAAAUGAAAAGAGAUUUGGUAAGAUAAAGAUUGACAAGACUCCAAUGAAUUUGGCAAUUUUAAUAUACUAUUUCAAUAAAGAUCAUUUCAGUCUUGAGGUGGGGAAAAGAUAAAAGGCAAAUGGCAGUGGGUUGAGCAGUAGGAGGGACACUUCAUUUUCUAAGACAGGAGGAAAGAAAGUAAAGAUGAGUGCAGAUGUUUAUCACAAUGGAAAUAUGCAAAUGCAGGCACAUGGAAAUAAUACAACAGCAGGACACCUAAGCUCAAGUGAAAUAAUUACAAGGAAAAACAAUGCUUAAGAGAUUUCCCAAACAUCAUCUUACACAAUUGGACUAGCCAUUGAUGUCUAGGAAAUGUCUGGUAUAUCAACCUCAAAUGCAGCUGUAAGUAAAACAUUAAUUUAGUUUCUACUGUCAUUAGUACAGAGUGCUGCAGUGAUGGUCUCACAAGAAUUUGAAUAUUGGGUAAAUAAGAUUGUCCUUGAAGAGGUAAACUAUGUGCUUACAUUUAAUCAAUUUAUAGGCAAAGUCACUCAAAAGACAGAGUUCCUGCCAAGACAAGUAAGCAAGAGUUGACUAUUCCUUAUUGACUAUAUGAACACAGUUGAUGAAUGAAUGUAUCCAGAUAAAGGAGAGGGAGAUACUGAUUGGCCAUGGAAGUAGACUAGAAGAGGAAUCACCAAGGUAAGCCCAACUAAGCACUGGGCAUGUCCAUUUGUCUUGCUGGCAAGGCUAUUCCUGUUGAGAGAACUAUGUAAGUCAGGUUUCUCUAGAAACAAAAGCAAUAGGUGUGUGUGUGUGUGUGUGUGUGUGUGUGUGUGUGUGUGUGUGUGUGUCUGUGUCUGUGUCGAGAGAGAGAAAGAUUUAUUGUGAGGCAUUGGCCUACACAGUUGUGGGGGUUAUUACCUCCAAAAUCUGCAGGGUAGGCAAGCAGGCUAGAGACUCAGGGAAGAGUGGCAAGGAAUAAUUAGAGUCCAAAGGCAGUCUGCUACCAGAAUUCUCUCUUCUUUGAUGUACCUCUGUCUUUUUCUCUUAAAGCCUGCAACUGAUUGGAGGAGACUACCACCCAUGUCCCCUUAAGGCCCAAGGGUUAUCUUUGGUUAACCUGUGAUGAAUGCUACCUGGCCUGGGACUCACCCUUUAGGUCAGUGGGCUUCCCUCUGGCCCAGGGAAGGUGCAUAAAUGCUGUCCAGGAGCCUAGGCCUAGAUGCAGGGACCCCAAAAGCCUGCUUCUUACUCCUUUGUGGUUGAGCUGGUAUCUAGGGUGCAAGACAAAGUCCACUUUACUUUUCCUUCUGCUUUUCUCAAACAGAAUGAGUCUUUCACUGUAGCCACCACAGCUGGGAAUGUGCUGGGUCACCAUGGAAGCCAGCAUGUCUCAGAGCCCAAGGCACAUGGCAUACUCCCUAGUUAUCACUGCUGGUUAUUCAGGGUGCAAGGACUCUUUAGUCAGCAGAAGAUGAAUCCUGCCAGGACUGGGUCUUUCUUUUCAAGGCUUAAGGUUCCCUUCUGGCCCAGGGUUUCAUCUGGCAAUGUCAUCUAGGAGAUAGGGCUUAGAAUGGGGGCCUCGCAACUCUGCUCAAUGUCCUAUUUUGCUAGGACUGAACUGGUGUCCAAAAUGCAAGACAAAGUCCUCUUUACUCUUCUUUCUCCUCUCCUCAAGCAGAAGAAAGGACUCACUUUCUUUGCUGAGAACUGUGCUACCUGGGGUUAGGGGAGAAGAGAUGUAAGCACUCUGUUAGCCACCCUGGCUGGUGUCCCAGUAGGUUGUAUGCCCUCCAAGUCUGCUAGCUCCAAGUCCAGCUCAGCACUAUGACCUGCCUAGAAACUGCAGUCCCAAUGACUCAGACUGCCCUUCACGUUUAUUUACAGUCCCAGAGCACUUUUGCCAACAGUGGCAGGGCUUGCUGGAACUAGAUUCCAACUGCUGGGAUGGGCAAUUCCCCUCUGGCUAGGGCUGGUCUAAAUGUCCCCUCCAUAGGUAGGCUUCAGCUGAGUUCAGCCCAGUUUUGCUUUCUACUGUGGCAGGACAACACUGAAUUCAAUGUGCUUUCCCUCCCCUAAGAGCACAGAUUCUCUCUCCUUGCCACAAAGCUACUGCCAGGAGACUGGGGAGGGGUGAUAUCAGUGAUUGAAUACUGCUUUUCCUACCCCCUUCAGUGGCUCUUUCAGUGAUAUGAAGUUAAAACUAGGUAUUGAUUGCUUACCUGAUUUUAGUUUUUUAUGAAAGUGUUUUUUGUGUCAAUAGUUGUCAAAUUUGGUGUUCCUGUUUGGAAAAUGAUCGGUGGAGGAUUAUAUUCAGCCAUUUUGCUCCACCCCUCCCUCUAGAUUUAUUUGAGCUUUCUUCAUGGUUUCAUUAAGGUUGUGUAUCUUUGGCUGGAAUACUCUAUGAACGUCAUGUUGUUCUUAGCAGUAUUUCUCAUCACUUGAUGACUAUUUGUCACUGUGAUAUUAUAAAAUAUAUGCUUUAUUUGGUCUCCAACGCAUAUAACUACUAAAAUCCUUAGAAUCCCCAAAGUAUUUUUGUAUGCUAAUGAUUGACUGAUGGUUGGCAGCUUCUAGGUAGCUUCAGGACGGGCACUGGUCACUACAAAAACCAAGGCAGGAUUAGGAGGUUGAGACUUUCAGCCCAGCCUGCCCCCAACCUCUGAGGAGGGUAAAGGAAAGUUAAGUUGAUCAUCAAAGGCCAAUGAUUUAACCAAUUGUGCCUAUAUUAUGAAGCUCCCAUAAAAACCCAAAAGGACUGGGUUCAGAGAGCUUUCAGGUAGCCAAAACCAUAAAGACUCCUGGAGGAUGGCUCACUUGGGGAGGGCACCCACACCCCCUUCCAUGCCUCAGCCUAUGCAUCUCUUUAUCUGUGCCCUUUGUAAUAUCUUUUAUGGUGAACUAGUAAAUGUAAAUGUUUCCCUGAGUUAUGUGAGCUGCUCUAGCAAAUUAAUCAAACCUGAGGAGGCAGUUGCAAGACCCCAAUUUAUAGCCAAUUGUCAGAAGCACAGGUAAAACAACCUAGGACUUGAGAUUGGCAUUUGAAGUGGGGAGUGGUAGGCUGUCUUGGAGACUGAGUCCUCAAUCAUGGGAUCUCCAGGGAGAUACUGUCAGAAAUGAAUUGAAUUGAAUUAGAGGAUAUUCAGCUGGUGUCUGCUACAGAAAUGCUUGGUGUGGCAGGGAGAGGGGGAACCCACACAUCUGGUCACAGAAAUAUUCCGUGUUGUUGUAGUGUGAGAGCAGAGAAAAAAACGUUUGAGUUUUCUCCACCCAGUUCCAUUAUUGGUGAUGUUAACUUUGAUCACUCAAUUAAGGUGCUGUCUGCCAGGUUUCUCCACUAUAGAGUUACUAGUUUUCCUUUUAUAAUUAAUUGGGAAUUUGUGAUUGGAUAAGUUGAGACCAUGUAAGUUUCCUGUUGUGUAUGGGAUAGUUUAGCAUCCAACUGAUUGAUUACCUGAAUCAGUUGUCACCUAAUAAUAGACUUUUUACUUUCCAUUGCAGAGAAAUAAUUAAAAGAGGCAACAGUCAGAGACUCCUUGAACUCAUGGCAUAUCAUCUGUCUCUGAUAGACAGCUGAGCUGAGAACUCUAGGAACCAUUCCCUGCAGACCAAAAAUGAGAAUUAUGCUAGAGAUUUUAAAGGAAGCAAAUAUUUCAAAUUUGGAAGAACCUGAUUCUACUAUGGGCUAUUUGACCAUUCGUGAGAAGAGGUUCACACAGUAGUUUAAAUCAAUUGUUCAAAUAGCUGAAAUCAACCCCAAAAAAAAAAAAACAACACUCACAUAAACCUCUGGCUAAGGAACAUUCCUAAGACAAAUCAAA